rnacentral:rRNA from 1 species
AUACGAAGGGGGGCUAGCGUUGCUCGGAAUGACUGGGCGUAAAGGGCGUGUAGGCGGUUCACACAGUCAGAUGUGAAAUCCCCGGGCUUAACCUGGGAGCUGCAUUUGAUACGUGUAGACUAGAGUGUGAGAGAGGGUUGUGGAAUUCCCAGUGUAGAGGUGAAAUUCGUAGAUAUUGGGAAGAACACCGGUGGCGAAGGCGGCAACCUGGCUCAUGACUGACGCUGAGGCGCGAAAGCGUGGGGAGGC